rnacentral:lncRNA from 1 species
AAUUGCAAUUUUAUUACUUUCCAAAAGAUCCGGCCAAAGGCUUGUUUGGGAAAUAAUUGCAGUUAUUUCCAUUAUAAGAAUAACAAUAAUAUUUCAGUUUCUGAAGGCUCCAAUUAUUAGGGGAUAAAAAGUUUACUAAAACAGAGCAUGUAUAAGGCAACAAGAAAAUUAGAGUACCAGCUCAUCUUACGUCAUGAACAAAUUGAAUAAUAAAAGAAAAGGAUACACUCAUUGCCACAAAUAACAUCGUAUCUAAUCCAAUUAUAUCCACCUAUAUGCAAAUGAGAAUGUAGUUCACUUGCCAAUAGAAGCAUUAAAAUGCCCCCUAUCCAAUGAACCUGUGACAGCAAGUGCACACAAGCACCAGCUCAUCUUGAGAAAUACAUGAACCAUAUGACAUUGAAGUACAAAUUUUCAUGAUUCCCUAGAUAUUAAGUAUGGCACAGACGCCCCUAAGCUAUGAUGAAUAUGGACUAACACCAGCAGCAAAUAAAUAGGUAACAACAACCAUAAAAUUAUUAAAGGGAAUUUGAUGCCAGAAACAAUUGACAUUAAACUUUUCUUUCAUUGAGAAUUCUCCCCACCUCCAUCGCUGUGGCGUGAUCCAAAAACCAAAAACAAACCUAUGCAGAGCCUACCUGUCUUUCAUUAAUAAUCAUGCCAUUAGUACCGCAAAACCAGAUGAUCAAUAAGUACUCAUGCGCCUAAUGUGAUUCAGAACAGAAUGUCCCUUCACAAGAUUGAGACUUAGUAUAGUGACUCAUCACCUAACUUCACUGUGCAUAAUUCCAGCUCUCUGUUCUCAAUGGUAUGAUCAAAUGCUCCUUAACACGAAACAUCCUGGAGAAAAUUCUUGAUGCUACUUCAUGCUCUUUCAAGUUAUCACCUAUUCAGGAUGAUGCAACCAUAACCCUGAAUAAUUUGCCAAAUGCCACCAAACAACAAAGCACAUACUAGCAAUGCGGGCAUAAAAGAAAGAUGGAAAUCUAUUCAAUAUUUUCUGCAUAGGAUGAUAAGAGAAGCAAAUGGGGGCCAUGAAGUGUGCCACAUGCCAAGUGCCGGACAUGUCAAAUAUCUAAUAUAUUAUGUAUCCAGGGGAGGAUUCUAUUUGCAGUUUUCAACCCUACAGAGGCAUCAAAACUCAGAUGUCUGUUGAAGUGCAGUUCAUGCUCCAAGCAGAAGUACAAACAGUUGGUGGCAUGUCCAACAUAAACCGCUUCAGCAUAGAAUUGACAUUAGAGUUUAGCUACUGAUAAGUCACAGUGAUUAAAUAUAUUAAUAUGAUGUUUCAAUGAGUAAUAUAUAGGACUUUAAGAUGUUGAAAGAAGCCUUAAAAAACAAGGUAUGCUUAUCAGCCUCAUAAUAAUUAUUUCCUUAAAGGGGGUUUCUUUGGGGCAGGCCGGGUUUUUUUAUUCUUUGUUUAAAGGGGAAUGGGGGAUUAAAUGGAUCGUACAUUAAUAUGAUGUUUCCAUGAGUAAUAUAUAGGACUUUAAGAUGUUGAAAGAAGCCUUAAAAAACAAGCUACGCUUAUCAGCCUCAAAAUAGUUAUUUCCUCAAAGUGAGAUUUCUAAAGCAAAAGAGUGUUUCACAUUAAAAAUUACUUCAUUUUGAAUUCCUUCGAAUUGCACCGCCAUUGUCACAAUGACUUUAAAAAUUGUCCAGAAAUUGUUUCUUGAGGUUAAAGAUACCAUUCAUUAGCACUAAAUUAUUGAUUGUCUAAAUGUUGAGAAAAAUUCUAUCUCAUACUUUAAAUUAUGUAUAAAACCAAUUCAGGAACCACAGAUUAUUGAUUUCUUGUUUAUUUUCUUAUACGUUGGAUUAACUAACAACUAAAAAAUCUGCUUGUACCAUUGUAAAGCGGAGGAUGAUAAGUCUACAUGAUGAAUAAUUCAGAAGACUUUGGAAGUCUGAAAUAUUACAUGAAUAAGUGAUUCACAAGUACAAGAAAUGCAACACCUGAGUCAAAACAUCUAACUCACAAAAAAAGCAAGAACAAUGACUAGCCUUAUUUACCCAAACACGCUUACAGAAAUGAAGAAAUGCUCUCAAAAAAUGAUUUGAAAAGCCAAAUAAUGAAUAUACAUAUCAUCCAUGACCAAUUUGCUUAAUUUUGGCAGAAACUGGAAAGCACAAUUGAAAUUGGACAAAAGCUGUAAUAAAACUGAUCAGUUUAGAUAAAACCAGUUGAAAGCCAAAACCAAGGGGAGGUUUCAACUGUCACUAUGUUACAUGGACUCAAAGUUGUUUGUUGGGUGCCGGUGCAUCUAAAUGUCAGAUCUUUUCACAAUCUAAGAAUUUCUUCUUAUGAAGCCAAGUCCGAAUGUUUUACCAGCAUCCAUGUUUAGGUGCCAGUGCAGAUACUUUGGGCUAUGUCAAACGUUAUGGGUAACAUAGCUUGGUCCAUGCCAAAACAUUCCCCUCCAGACAAAACUGGUCAGUUGUAGCGAGAACUUAGUCUUUCAAAAAUAUAAAUGAGUAGAUGCUGGUGCAGUCAUUAUAAGUAAUAUUCGUAAUGCACCACUAUCAAAUAAAUAACUCAUUUAAUAUACUGCAUGAUGGAUGUAAGUGCAUGCAAUAGAUUGAGGGGGCUUUCCACCUAAGGAGAUAUUAUUCUUUCACCCUUUCUCUCAGCCACAUGUAAAUACAUCUUCUUGCUUCCCUCUCUCUGAUGAAGAAAUUGUACACCUAUAUGCAAUAAUAACUAAAGUAUAUCAAAGAAAAUAACUAACAAACACAAACUAUCUUAAGCUAAAGGUCCUAGUUGGUAAUUAUGAUGACGACAUACGAACAAGUCACAUAACCAUUAACCCCCUUAAAACUGGUUUAUUCCAGUUAUUCUCACUCUGCAUAACCAAAUUCAGCCAAUGAAUUCAAAUCAACAGGAGAUAACAAAUGAUGAAAACAAUGGGAGAAAACACCAAAGACAUCGUCGCUAACCCAAUUAUGCACAUUACGAAAGAAAUAGAAAGGUAUUCUUUCUUUAGUAACAGAAGUCUGCAAGACCUUGUUAGAUACCUUUGGUCAUAAUAACACAUAUUAAAUAGAUACAGGCAGAGCAACAAUUAUUUCCAUUAGAAUGCAAUCAAAAUCAAUAGAAAAAGCAGAGCCCAGAAAUCUCACCCGACGUCAACAAAUACAUGAACCUCAUGAAAUCAAAUCAGAUGUUCAUAUUUCUAUCACAAACUCACAGCCAGAGAUAGAUGAGGCAAAUAUGAAAGCUAAACAAGAUAAGACCUAGCAACAAAUCCCAGCACAAAUAACCAAAAGAAACCCCAAUAAAUGAAGCAAAUAUGAAACCCUAUCAAAAAGAAACCCCAACAAAAUCACAGCCAGAGAUAGAUGAGGCAAAUAUGAAAGCCGAACAAGAUCAGACCUAACAACAAAUCCCAGCACAAAUAACCAAAAGAAACCCCCCUAAAUGACCCUAUCAAAAACGGCACACAUAUCAUCAAAUCUAAGAGCAAUAAAAAUAAACAAACAAGCCUAAUUGACGA